rnacentral:rRNA from 1 species
ACUGCUCUUUAACAAUUUAUCAGACAAUCUGUGUGGGCACUCGAAGAUACGGAUUCUUAACGUCGCAAGACGAAAAAUGAAUACCAAGUCUCAAGAGUGAACACGUAAUUCAUUACGAAGUUUAAUUCUUUGAGCAUCAAACUUUUAAAUUGAAGAGUUUGAUCAUGGCUCAGAUUGAACGCUGGCGGCAGGCCUAACACAUGCAAGUCGAACGGUAACAGGAAGAAGCUUGCUUCUUUGCUGACGAGUGGCGGACGGGUGAGUAAUGUCUGGGAAACUGCCUGAUGGAGGGGGAUAACUACUGGAAACGGUAGCUAAUACCGCAUAACGUCGCAAGACCAAAGAGGGGGACCUUCGGGCCUCUUGCCAUCGGAUGUGCCCAGAUGGGAUUAGCUAGUAGGUGGGGUAACGGCUCACCUAGGCGACGAUCCCUAGCUGGUCUGAGAGGAUGACCAGCCACACUGGAACUGAGACACGGUCCAGACUCCUACGGGAGGCAGCAGUGGGGAAUAUUGCACAAUGGGCGCAAGCCUGAUGCAGCCAUGCCGCGUGUAUGAAGAAGGCCUUCGGGUUGUAAAGUACUUUCAGCGGGGAGGAAGGGAGUAAAGUUAAUACCUUUGCUCAUUGACGUUACCCGCAGAAGAAGCACCGGCUAACUCCGUGCCAGCAGCCGCGGUAAUACGGAGGGUGCAAGCGUUAAUCGGAAUUACUGGGCGUAAAGCGCACGCAGGCGGUUUGUUAAGUCAGAUGUGAAAUCCCCGGGCUCAACCUGGGAACUGCAUCUGAUACUGGCAAGCUUGAGUCUCGUAGAGGGGGGUAGAAUUCCAGGUGUAGCGGUGAAAUGCGUAGAGAUCUGGAGGAAUACCGGUGGCGAAGGCGGCCCCCUGGACGAAGACUGACGCUCAGGUGCGAAAGCGUGGGGAGCAAACAGGAUUAGAUACCCUGGUAGUCCACGCCGUAAACGAUGUCGACUUGGAGGUUGUGCCCUUGAGGCGUGGCUUCCGGAGCUAACGCGUUAAGUCGACCGCCUGGGGAGUACGGCCGCAAGGUUAAAACUCAAAUGAAUUGACGGGGGCCCGCACAAGCGGUGGAGCAUGUGGUUUAAUUCGAUGCAACGCGAAGAACCUUACCUGGUCUUGACAUCCACGGAAGUUUUCAGAGAUGAGAAUGUGCCUUCGGGAACCGUGAGACAGGUGCUGCAUGGCUGUCGUCAGCUCGUGUUGUGAAAUGUUGGGUUAAGUCCCGCAACGAGCGCAACCCUUAUCCUUUGUUGCCAGCGGUCCGGCCGGGAACUCAAAGGAGACUGCCAGUGAUAAACUGGAGGAAGGUGGGGAUGACGUCAAGUCAUCAUGGCCCUUACGACCAGGGCUACACACGUGCUACAAUGGCGCAUACAAAGAGAAGCGACCUCGCGAGAGCAAGCGGACCUCAUAAAGUGCGUCGUAGUCCGGAUUGGAGUCUGCAACUCGACUCCAUGAAGUCGGAAUCGCUAGUAAUCGUGGAUCAGAAUGCCACGGUGAAUACGUUCCCGGGCCUUGUACACACCGCCCGUCACACCAUGGGAGUGGGUUGCAAAAGAAGUAGGUAGCUUAACCUUCGGGAGGGCGCUUACCACUUUGUGAUUCAUGACUGGGGUGAAGUCGUAACAAGGUAACCGUAGGGGAACCUGCGGUUGGAUCACCUCCUUACC